AGGACUAACGCUGGCGGCGUGCCUAACACAUGCAAGUCGAACGGGGGUAGCAAUACCCCAGUGGCAGACGGGUGAGUAACACGUGGUCAACCUACCUCUGUGUGGGGGAUAACUAGCCGAAAGGUUAGCUAAUACCGCAUACGAUCGUUUUGAGGCAUCUCGAGACGAUGAAAGGAGCAAUCCGCACGGAGAGGGGACUGCGUCCCAUUAGUUAGUUGGUGGGGUAACGGCCUACCAAGACUCCGAUUGGUAGCUGGCUUGAGAGAGCGACCAGCCACACUGGAACUGAGACACGGUCCAGACUCCUACGGGAGGCAGCAGUGAGGAAUUUUCCGCAAUGGGCGAAAGCCUGACGGAGCGACGCCGCGUGUGGGAUGAAGGCCUUCGGGUCGUAAACCACUGUCGAAGGGGACGAUAUUGACGGUACCCUUGGAGGAAGCCCCGGCUAACUACGCGCCAGCAGCCGC
rnacentral:rRNA from 1 species